CAACACUAGUGAUCACUGUUGGAAGAAAUAAAAUGAUUUAAUGAGUUGGGAAUGUUUAAACAUAUGUUUCUGUUGUUACAGCUUCUUGAGAGAUGACUCAGUAUGCAAAUUAGCUGGAGUGUGUGUGUGACUGUGACUUUCAGGAAGAGGAAGCAUAGCAGAGACGAGAAGUGCAGAUUGGGGUAGGAAAUUUAUAGUUUAGUGAUUAUAUGAUGUCGUAAGGGGGUUUUAUGCUGAAUUGAAGUAUGUUAUAGAGCAUAAGGGGGUGAUUUUUGUGUGCAAAUUGAGUGGUUUUAAUGAGACUUUUGGUGUAUUGAGGAGGUGAAAUUAUGUGGUGGCAAGAUUUGUGUGUUUAAGGUUGUUGUGGUGAUGGGUUGAUUCUGUCAGGUAGGUUGUUGUUGUUAUUUUUGUUUUUAAUAGAGGGAGUUUUAGGAAACAUGGACAUGUCUAAAAUUGGGCCCAUUAUUUUGUAACAGUGCACUUAAAGAAAACCUGUCAGGUGAUUUUGUUUUGUUUUUAUGAGCUAACAAUCAGCUCUAUUUUUUUUUUCAUUUCUGUUUUAAGCAGGCCUGCAACAGUGAAUAACGGCGCUGAAAGUUCUCGGGAGGAGCAAAUAUAAGGGGGCUUUCCAGAUUACAAUUGGCUGAGGAGAGCUACCUGUGGGGACUGAUCAAGGUCGUAAGUCCCUGUAAAAAGGAUUUUAUGCGAGUCAAUCCAGUCCAAAAGCAUAAAGAAAUAUUUCCCUAUGGAAAAUAAAAAUGACUGAGCUCAUUUUGCUGAGGGUGGAGUAUCUGAUCGUGCGGGAAGCUCCACUAUCAGCAAAUAUAUGGUGUGACUGCAUGUGAGUGAAUGUGAGGGUGAAUAAAUGUGGACAAACAAUUUGUUUUUACCAGAGAAAAUUUCUGUUUUGUUUUAUUAGGUGGGGUUAGAUUAUGAGAUUAUAGUAUAUUGUUGGGAGAAUGCCAAAUGCUAAAGGGGAAAUAUUUUUUGAUGUAACUCAGUUACCAUUAAUUGUAGAAACACAUGACUGAUAACUGUUCUGUUUUAAGUUUAUUUUUAUGACAUAGAUUGGAUCAUGAGUGGGGAAAACUGAGCAGUUUUAAGUUUUGUAUAGUAUCUUGACACAUGAAAUGUAUCAAGAUAAAGGGGGGUUUAGGGUUUAAUAAUUUAAUUGCUUAAUAAUUUAGGAUCAUUUUAGGACCUUUUGGGUUUUUGAUCAUUUGGAUAUGGUAAAACUGAAACUGGUAUUUUUAAGUUAAGGUUAAAGGAUUAAAAGUGAACUUGUCACGGUUUGCGAGGCAAGCCGUGUGGAGUUGUAGAAAAGGACCCAAAAGGCGGCAGCUCUGGUGCAGGUGAAUAUUUAUUUACAACGGUGGGCACAAAACAGCACUGGUGGAAAAACAAGAAACCGGAAAACUGGAAGACUGAUCUCGGCGACCACAGGAGGGGCGAGGAUCCUGGAGAUCUCGAGGUUCGAGACCACCAGAGAAGGGUCUGCGUGAGGACACAAUGUAUUGUGACCUCUGGUUUUCAGAGGUCAAAAGGGGGAGUGUUGAGGAGGGAAAUUAUUUUACUGCUAUUGUUAAAUAAUUGUUAUUGCAUUAAUAAUAUAAUUUGCAGCAUGGAUAUUGCAUUCCAAGGUUUAGACAGUGUCUCUUUCAGAAAGACUGAGUUGCAGGCUGACAGGAAGUUGUAUGCAGAAAGAAGCAGGAAGUUAUUUUGAGCCGCAGGCUAAGACGAGGCUUUAACAAUGUAACAGAUAGCUUUAUCAUUUUAUAUUAAGGUUUUAGUAGAGGUUCUUGAUUAAAACAUUUAUUUAGUAGAAGACAUACACAUAGUCUCAGUGAGCUUCUGGUCUGGUAAAAGGUCAGAAGUGCAACAGGUGAAUUGAGAAAGAGCAUGUGAGGUCAACACACACACACACACACACUUUAAAUUAGAUUUAUUUAGAGGAAGAGGUUAGUUAUGUUUGGCUGUAACUACAAAAUUGUCUCGGUAAAAGAGGAACCGUUUCUUGUUGUCUCGACAAGAAAGAGGAACAAUUCAUUUUAAGAUAAGAACGGAAA
ensembl:lncRNA